rnacentral:lncRNA from 1 species
UUCCCAGGCUAGGGGUCCAAUCCGAGCUGUAGCUGCCAGCCCACGCCAGAGCCAUAGCAACGUGGGAUCUGAGCUGCCCUGUAUGCAACCUACACCACAACUCAUGGCAAUGCCAGAUCCUUAACCCACUGAAUGAGGCCAGGGAUCAAACCCAUGUCCUCAUGGAUGCUAGUCAGGUUUUUUAACCACUGAGCUGCGAUGGAAACUCCUUUUUUUACUUUUAAAUAUCUUGGGACAGAGACUCUGUGUGAACCCAGCUGAUAUCUUUUGUGCUGUCAAAAGUAUGUCAGGUAAAUGCAUGGACAUACUUUUUAGUACAAUCAUUUAAAUUGUAUUAUUUUCCCUUAUACUUAAUUCCUAUCAUUACUAUUGUUGGUUAGUUGAGUAAUAACCAUUUGGAGGUGCUCCUGAAAAGAUACAUGCCCCCUGCUUCAGGGACACUUCACUAAAUUUCAUUUCAAUUUAGUUCAUGCUGUGAUUUUUCUUUUAAGUGAGAUCUUUCCAUGCAUGAUGUUGUCUUCAGCCAACUUAUGGAUCUCCCCAGACCUCCACAAAUAUCAUGCAGUCAUACCUGAAAAUAAAUUAUUUAACUUUUUCAUGGUUAAAGUCUUUCUUGUUUGCUAAAUUCGUUUUAUUAUUUUCACUUACUACUCCCAAAAGUUGUUGUGUUGUAGUCAUUUCUCCCCUCCAAAAAAAGAUUUUCACUCAUCUCAGACAUAACAAUCCUCAUCAUUGUAUUGGUAAAGAUAUUACCAAUUACAUGUAUUAUAAGAUUACUUUUAGCUAAUAAUACUGUAACUAUUGCAAUUCAAUGGCCAUUAAGUCAUAGGCUCGUUAACUGUUAAAAUAUUUAGCUUAUGUACUUCUUAGGUGGGCAAGUUUCAUUUGCACAAUCAUUGGUGUGAACUGAGAGCCUCAGUUUUUGAUCAGUCAGCAGUGACAUGUGCCAAUUUCUCUCUAGUUAGUUUGGGAGUUUGGCUUCAUAUCACACUAAACAGAGGUGACACUUCUGGCCUACAAUGUGACAGAUGACCUUUCUGGAGAUCAUGACACCUAAUAGAUCAUUUAACGUGAGCAGCUCUGACACAUGACCAAACUCCUUAAGCAUUAGAAAAACUUCAUGCAAGUCAAUGCCAUGUUGAAGUCUGCUGUCAUUUCCAAUGAAUGUCGACAACUGCCAUUUGGCAGCUUUGAGAAUUGUUGCCAAUGAUUCUGAGGACAAAUAGUCAAGGCACAUUCCUGUGGAGUGGUCCAAAUGUAUCUCAGGGGAAGAAAAUGAUAACUAGAGGAGAAAUCAAGGGAUGACGAAAGAGCAUUUUUCUUUCCUUUUGACCUUACAGUACAAUUGUUAGAUUUUUGGUAAUACAAUUGGAGAUUCUAGCAAAUUAAAAAAAGGGUAAAAUAGGAAAACUUACUGGUACUUGAAACAGAGGUGCAUUCCGUAAAACAUUGUUGAAUGAACAAACAGCAAGAUGCCUAGCUGAUCAUUGCUGUGUCUAUGCACAGUCAUAGAUAUCUUACUCAAUUGAUUCCCUCAUUUGUUGAUCCACUUAAGAACUAGUUAUGGAGUGCCAAUAUUGUGCCUAGACCUUGGCUAGGCACUGGGGAUUCAGUGAUGAGCACAGAAUGUCCUGCUCUCAUGAGAGAGCCCAUCAAAUGGACAGCACUAUUAAUUAACCUUACAAAGAAAUUGAAAAUUGCAACUAUGUGGAGUGCUGCAAAAGAGGGAGGCAUGGUGCUUUAAGGAUUGAGGGAAGGAGCUCAGGGAAGGCUUCUCUGAGGAGGUGUGAUGGUUAAGUUUUAAGAUGAGGAUGAGUAGACAUCAAAUACAUCAAGAGAGAAAUGGAAGAAACACUGCAGGCAGAGAGCAGUGUGCGGCAAGGUCCUGUGAGGGGAGAGAGAGAUGUGCGCUCUCUUGGGCAGCAAGGGAAGCAAUGAAGUCAUUUACUCUAUGAUACUGGAGAGAGAAACAGGGACUAGACUUGGAAGAGCUUUGUAUGCCAUAUAUAUAUAUAUAUAUAACCCUAGUUACCUUAAUAACUGGCUUUNCAUGCUGCAUCUGUGACCUAUGCCACAGUUUGCUGCAAUGCUGAAUCUUUAACCCACUGAGCAAGGCCGGGGAUGAACCCGCAUCCUCACGGAGGCUAUACUGAGUCCUUAUCCCACUGAGCCAUAGUGGGAACUCCUGGUGUACCAUAUUUAAGUGCUUUGUUCUUACCCCUAGAGGAAGAGGAAGCUGUUACAGAAUUUAAGCAGAAGGAUGACUUGAUCAUGUUUGAGUUACAAAAAGAUAAUUCUGCCAUGUAAAGAAUGGGGAUUGGAGAGGGUCAAAGCAGGUAAGGGUUAAGUAGUAAGUAAGGAGAGUCUUCUAGUGGUUCUGAUGAGCUAAAGUCCUCUUGAAUUAGAGUGGUGGGGGUUGGGUGGAGAUGGUGAGAAGGAGAGGAAUUCAUGAGACUGAGAAAAGGACUUGGUAGUAGAUUGAAAAUGGAGGUAAGGAAAAAAGAGCUGUUAAAGACGACCAACUUCCGAAUUUCUGGCCUUCGUACAUGGAUGGCUGAUGAUGCCAUUCACUGAAACUGGGAAUGCUGGCAAAGGACACUAUUUGGGGCGGAAGCUUAAGAGUUUGGAAAUUGUAGUUUUCUCUUCAAUACUUGAGUUUUUUGGAUCUAGUGCUUGGAAGAGAAGUCUAGGUUAAAGACACAAAAUAUAAAAGCAGGAGCCAUUUGUGUACAAAUGGAUAUAAUUGAAAGAAAGAUACUAUGGUAGCAGAACAGUGACCUCUCAAAGAGGUCCAUGUCGAAAUCCCCAGAACCUGUAAAUAUGUUAUCUUAAAUGGCAAAGGGGUAUUAAGACAGCAACUGGAAUUAAGAUUGUUAUUCAGCUGACUGAGCAGUAGAGAUUAUCUUGGAUUAUUUGAAUGGUCUCAAUGUAAUCACAAGGGUCCAUAAAUGUGGAAGAAGGCAGUAGAAGAGUCAGUUUCAGAGGCAUGUGAUGUGAGAAAGCCCUCACCUGUCAUUGCUGGCUUUUAAAGUGGAAGGAGUCUCUAGUCAAGGAAUAGAGGCAACUCUUGAAACUGGGAGAGGCAGGGGAACAGAUUUUCUCCUUGAAUCUUCAGAGGAGACCAUAUCUAAGACUUGGAUUUUAGACCAGUGAGACACACUUUGGAAUUAUGAUAUCCAGAACUGUAAGAUAAUAAACCUGUGCUGUUUUAAGCCACCAAGUUGGUGGUAAUUACAUUGGCAAUAGGAAACUAAUCCCUUUACCUUGAGAAAAGUUAAAGAGAGAGAGGGUCUGAAUCAUGGAACUCUAACAAGCACUGGAGAUAUAAAGAAGGGAAAUUCGCUAAUGAGAUGGGAAAGAGAGGGGAGAGAGUAGGAGAAUUUAGGAUUCUGGAAGCAAGAGGAGAGAAUCUUCCUUAAAGAGGUCAGACAGGUUGAGAAGCAUUACUUGGACUGGCUGAGAGGAACUCACAGAUGAUUUCAGUGAUAGUUAUUUUGCUGGAAUGAGGGGAGCUGGGUCCAGAUUGGGGUGGGAAUGUGGUGUUAGUGGGAGGAGCAGAGGCAACAUUUUGAAGAAGUUUAUUUGUGCUGGGGAAGAAAAACAUACAAAUGUCACCUUGGAAUAAUAUUUCUGAACCUUGGCACUGUUGACAUUUUGUAUCAGGUAAUUUUUUGUCCUGGGGGAUUAUCUUGUGUAUUGUGGGAUAUUUAGCCGUAUAUCUGGUCACUGUCCACUAGAUGCCAGUAGCAAUCUCCUCCCUCAAUUGUGACAACUACAAACGUUUGUAGACAUGGUUAAUUGUCCCCUGGGGAUGAGUGACAAAAUGCCCCUAUUUGGAAACCACUGUUUUGUGUAGAAAGUAAUCCCUUGAGUUUUAUUUUGUCCAAGUACAUCAAACAUAUUUUUACAAAAGGGUAAAGGGCCACCGAAUGAAUGGGACAUAAUUUCAUUGGAUCCUUCAAAGCUCCUGCUCUAUAGAUGCACUUGAUCCUUUGGAUACCUACUCUGAACUGAUACCGAGUGAAUUUGUAUAAGUGGCAUAGUGCAUGCUCUCAUAAAAUAAUUGGAAAAGGUGAGCCUAGAAUGGGCUCCAGUUUUAUUCAAAGUUUGUUCUAGUUCCUUCUAUGCCAUUUCGUCUAGAUUGGUGACCAGACGAUAACUGAACAGCAUGGUUCCAAGAAGCUGCCUUACCCCAGUAUUAUCUGUCUAUAAGGAUUCUAAUAGUACUAGCUGAAAUCUCAAAGCAGGUGCCAAUCAAAUCUGCUGAGAUCUUUCACACUGUAAAAAAAAAAAAAAAAUGACAGUGUCUGCCUUCUAACAUGGUUGAUGUGGCAUUUCAGAAAUGCAGUGGGAAAUGUGGUCCAUACCUUGCUUCUGAGCUUUGAAGAAAAGAAUUGCUUUUUUUGGAUCUUAUGCAUAUGCUGAGUCUCAUAGGUAUGAAAUUUCUGUUUCUCUUGCCACCAUUCUCAAGAUCUUUCUUGUUGGGUUGGCUCUUAAGGUGUGCCUAAGGUGCUGAAUUAUGUGAAAUCUGAUGUGAAAUCUGAUCUAUUUAAUUGCUUUAAUAAUGCACUGUGUAGUUUGGGGAGAAGGAUAUGGAGAAGGUCUUGUAAAGUAAAUUAAAAGCAAACUUUCAUGCUUGAUCACACAUGUAAAAGUGGGAAUAAUUCAAUAAAUGAGACAUAUGCUUUAUUAGAGGUCAAUGUUCCUAUAGUGGUUAUUACACUUCUUAUAUUUUAAUGAGUGCUUUCUUCCCAACCCAGUUUUUUCAUCUUUCUGAUGAUGCUUUAAAGUUAUAUUUUGUGGAGGAUGUUAUGUUAAGUGAAAUAAGGCAGACACAUAAAGACAAAUACUGUCUGAUACCACUCAUGUGUGGUAUCUAAAAACGUUGAACUCAGGGAAGCAGAGAGAAAUGGUGGUUGCUGGUGUGUGGGGAAAGGGGGAGAUGUUGGUCAAAGUGUGAAUACGUUUAGUUACAUAAGGUGGCUAAGUUCUGGAGGUCGAGUGUGUAACAUGGUGGCUCUAGCUAAUGAUAUCCAGUAUAUACUUGAGAAUUGCUAAGAGAGUAGAUUUUGCAUGUUCUCACCGCACACACAUACACCACAUGCACAAAAUGGUAACUAUGUGAGAUUGUGGUCAUAAUUCCCAAUGUACAUGUAUAUCGAAACUUCAUAUUUAUACUGUAUAUAUAUACACACACAUACACAUACAUAACACACAUACACCAUAUGCAUAAAAUGGUAACUGUGUGAGCUGAUGACUUUGUUACUUAGCUGGAUUGUGGUAAUGAUUUCACAAUGUAUAUGUAUAUCAAAACUUCAUAUUAUAUACUAUGUACACACACAUGCACAACAUUUUUUCCAAUUAUACAUCAAUAAAGCUAGGAAAAAAAAUAAAGUUAUAGCUCAGGCCCGUUAUCCCCUUAUUCUCAACACUAGGGCUACAUUCAACAUUGCUGGCUUUGAACUAUUCCUAGCAAAGCAAUUAUUUUUAAUUAUAUUAGUAGUACAUGAAUAUCUUACUAUAAAAGACACUAACAAUAAAGAUAAAAUAAAUUUCUAUUUUACUCCUCUUUUCAGAGGUGAAAAAUAAUGAUAACAUCAGUGUGGAAUUUAUCCUUGUCAAACUUUCUCAAUUUAUUUGUGAUUAUGGGUAACUAUCACACUAUGUAGAUUUGCUUUGUUUGUAUGAUUCCUUACCAGUAUGAGGCUAGAGUACCUGUGUAAUCUUGUAACUUCUUUUUGAAUAUGUUAUCAUGUGCUCCUAAUAAGCCCACCUCAUUGAUAUUAUUUUUGUAGUAUUGAUGUAACAUUUUAUUUAGCUAUUCCUCCAUUGAUGGACAUUUUGUUUAUUUAAAAUUUUUUACAUUGUAAGCAGUACUGUGGUGGAUACCCUUGUGUAUAUUUCUUGUGCAUGUGUAAAAGCAUUUCUUUGGGGUUGAUUCCUUCCAUUGGAAUUACUGAAUUAAAGAGUAGACAUUUUAAAAAAUCUGAAAAGAUAUUUCCAGGAGUAUCUGCUGUGGUGCAGCAGGUUAAGAAUCUGACUGUAGUGACUUGGGUUGCUGUGGAGGUGUGGGUUUGAUCCCUAGCCUGAUUCACUGGGUUAAAGAAUCUGGAGUUGUUGCAGCUGUGGCUCGGAUUCAAUCCCUGGCCUAGGAACUUCCAUAUGCCACAGGUACAGCAAUAAAAAAAUAAAAAUAAAAAAGAUUUCCAAAGGGGAAAUACAUUUUUGUAAAAUGUUUUAUGAUUAAGAAAAAGCAGGUAUAUUAAAAAAAAAAGAAAAAAUGGACAUGGAUACAGUCUAAGGGUGGACUCUGAGGUUUAGCAAGUGUUUGCCCUUUUUAAAAAACUUAGGUUUUGUUUUUUAGAGCAAUUUCAGGUUUACUUCAAAAUUGGGAAGAAAGUGCAGAGAAUUCCCUUAUAUCCUCUGCCCUACUCAUACACAGCCUCCCCAACAAUCAACGUUCUCCACUAGAGUGGUGCAUUUGUUACAGUCAGUGAGACUGCAGUGACACAUCUUUAUCACCCCAAGUCAAGAGCUGACAUUAGGGUUCACUCUUGGUUUUCACCUUCUGUGGGUUUUGAUAAAUGUAUGGUAAAUGUAUCCACCAUUAAAGUAUCACACAGAAUGGUUUCCUUUUCAGAAUGUCGUGCAGUUGGAAUCACAGUAGACAGUCUUUUCAGAUUGUCUUCCUUUAUGUAGUAAUAUGCAUUAACAUUCCUCCAUGUCUUUUUGUGGCUUAGUAGCUCAUUUAUUUUUAGGGCUGAAUAUUCCA